rnacentral:lncRNA from 1 species
CUCAGGGAAUUAUCCGUUUGUCCGAUUAAACUGGUGUGUAUUGAGUCAGUGAUAGAACCAGUGAUGCGUGAGCGACGGUUAUUAAUAGAUCGUUGUAUAAUCCGUUAUCUGUGAGCAACGGAUAUUAAUAGAUCGUUGUGAUUAUAUACACUGUUUACAGUCAGAUAAAAAUAACCGUCUUAUUACCCUUUUCAGUCGAGAAAUAAAAAGCGGUGGUUUUGAUAUUAAAGUUACUUGCAAUUUAAAUAUCGAAUUUAGUUCAAUAAAGAAUAAUCUAUUUAAAUGUGACCAAUGAACAGGAAAAUGCACGUGGUAACUUUGCAAUACUACAAAUAUGUUCACCUUACAAAAUUCUUCUUUAUUGUCAUGUUAAGAUAAAUCAGUUCCUGUAAAAACAGUAAAAACAGACUCUUAAUUACUGCAGAUGCCGUAAUCCGACAUUAUGUCAUACUGAUUUGACACUUGUCUAAUGUGAGCAAUACCUGCUGUGAUAUUUUUGCAAUACAACAUGGACAAGCGGAAGGUCG